rnacentral:rRNA from 1 species
UACGUAGGGUCCGAGCGUUGUCCGGAAUUACUGGGCGUAAAGAGCUCGUAGGUGGUUUGUCGCGUUGUUCGUGAAAACUCACAACUCAAUUGUGGGCGUGCGGGCGAUACGGGCAGACUGGAGUACUGCAGGGGAGACUGGAAUUCCUGGUGUAGCGGUGGAAUGCGCAGAUAUCAGGAGGAACACCGGUGGCGAAGGCGGGUCUCUGGGCAACAACUGACGCUGAGGAGCGAAAGCGUGGGGAGCGAACAGG